GUGCUCACUUCAGCAGCAUAUAUACUUAAAAGUGGAACGUUACCAAGAAGAUCAGUAUGGUUUCUGAACAAGGAUGACAUGCAAAUUUGUGGAGCAGUCCAUAUUUUU